CACGUGACGGCCGGGGUCGCUGCCGCGCGCCGGGCGGGAAAGGUGGGGCGGAGCGGCUCCGACCGGAGUCGGGGGCUGCCGGCGGACGCGGACGCGUCUCAUGCAUUAAUUUGACAAACAUUUAUUGAAGGUCUGGAGUUCUGUGACCAGAUUUUCUGAACUCCAACUCAUGACAGGUGAAAAAGAAUUUUUCUGGUUCUCUGUGUUCCCAUAAUCUUUCCUUUUGUUGAAGCAAAUUUUGUGUAUGUGUGUGUGUGCACGUGCGCUUCAGCAACCAGCUCUAACAAAGCCAUUCAACCGAAGUAAGAAUCAUCAGAGAGUGACACCACAAUUCUGGAUAUAGGGUAGAAAUAAGUAGGACCAGCAACACUAUUUAGUGCUGUCUUCUCUCUCAAUGACUCCUUCUCUAUCCUGUCUACUUAUUAUUCCCAAAAGAUUCUAACACCAACAAACAUACAAAUUAUAAACAAUAAGUAUAUAUUAAACCUGGUAUGAACCUUCCCACAGCAUUUUGUUGAUAAAUCUGUUUGGGUACUUACAUUUCCUUGUGGUGUCUUGUAACAUACCUUGUUCUCCUUCUAGACUUAAAGCCACUAGUGAGGUUACAUGAAUCUUAUGUGGCCUAGUAGGGUGUGUCUUAUGAGGUGAUGUUGUGUGUGUGUUGGGGGGGCGGUUCUAUACGUAUUACAGAAAUAUUUUAGGAUAAUGCUCAGCUAGGGACUCUUUGUCCCUCAGAAAAUUAGGUAAGUUUGCCUUGAAUGCCCACUUUUUUGGUUCUAAAGUCAAGAGCCUGUUUCCCUAAUCUAGUUUUUCUGAUUCUCUGAUGGGUUGUUUACACAUGCUUGCCUCCUUUUCUCUCCCACACAAACACUUCCCCACUGCCUGUGCCUAUAUUGAUAUAGACCUAAAGCUCGACCCAUGACCAAUUACCCGAAUAUCAACUCUCCUCAAGAAUUUAUGAAUUCUUUAACUUGGUACCAAAGAUUUAAGAGGGGUCACACUAUAUAGUAUACUAGGGGCCCAGUGCAUAAAAUUAGUGCACUCAGGGGGUCCCUCAGCCUGGCCUGCACCCUCUCACAGUCCGGGAGCCCUUGGGGGAUGUCUGACUGAUGUCCGUGGGGAGCGGGCCUAAGCUGCCAGUUGGACAUCCUUAGCGCUGCUGCUGAGGCGGGAGAGGCUCCCACCACUGCUGUUGCACUCACCAGCCAUGAGCCUGGCUUCUGGCUGAGCGGCGCUCCCCCUGUGGGAACGCACUGAUCACCAGGAGCAGCACCUGCAUUGAGCACCUGCCCCCUGGUUGUCAGUGCGCAUCAUAGUGACCAGUCGUUCCACCAUUUGGUCAAUUUGCAUAUUAGCCUUUUACUAUAUAGGAUGAUGCUCUUUAUCCUGAAUCUGGGACUACCUCUCUUUUCCACUCUCAGUAGAUUAACAAGAAAUUCUUUUCCUUUUCCAGGCUGUUACAGUUUAACCAUACUUAGAUUCUUCUGAUUCUCAAGUGUUAUUCCAAAUAAGAUCGUUUGGAAAUAUCUCCUCAAAAUAUACAUGUUCUUCUGAAAGGGAUACCAGAAAACACCAUUUUCCAAGCUUGGUACAUAAUCAAAUGAAUGGUUAUAUUUGCCUUACUAUAAAUUCUUCAUAAAAUAUUGAGGACCUAUGCCAGCUCUAAGUUAGCUCCCUGAGACUGGAGUGAAGACUUUCUGCCCAUCUCUUUGCCUUGAUUAGUAUACUUAUUGGACCCAACAAUCACAUACAACAAAACAUAACUAUUAUGUGUUAGAUAAGUAGACACCCUCAGCUGAAGCCACUAAGCUGUUGCUGAGGCUUAGUUGUUGAGACUGGAAGUGAUUUGAAAAGUCUUCAAAUGGCCAUUUGUGAGAGUGUUCUACUUAGGUAGCAAGUUGCCAUUGCCACCACAGAAAUAACCUCUACUGAACUUCCUAUUGGGUCUCAACUCUGAAUUGGAAAUUGUCCACUCACCCAUACAUGGGUUUAUCAUGAAGUGAUCGAAGCUUAAGCUUCAGGGUCCACCAUCUGUCAGGCUGCUUACAAGAUCCCAGCAAUACUGUUGUUAUAAAUUCAGAGAGCACUUUACACAGUCCCUGCCAAGAAAACUUGAAUUGCCCUGAAAUCGUACAGAUAAUUAAUGCUAAAAACUUGACAUUUUCCAAAUUUGACAAUAGUCUUAUAAAUGACUUUGGGAGUAGUGAGGUGUGAAACUGAAAGAAACUUUUCUAAUCUGUCAGUAAUGAAAAAAUUUAAUCAGCUAAUCUAGAGAAAAGAUGAAUUAUCUUUUAAUUCCCUCUAUAGGAAAUAUUACAAAAUCAUUAUCAGUUAAAGAUGUUAACAGAGGAUAUACAAACAAAACAAAACAAAAAAACAACAACCAUAGAUUAUGUCAUCAAAUUAGUAAAGCUUAUUUUUCUGGAUUUGGGAAUCUUUGUGGUAUUUGUCAGCUUUUCAAAAUUUGUAAUUAGUUGUAAUUGCUUUUCUCAUUCUAUAUGAAUAUUCAUUAUUAAACCUAGCUCUGUUUUU